CAGGGUGUUACGGUACAGAGUCAAUGUGGAGGCUAUAUACAGGGUGUUACGGUACAGAGUCAAUGUGGAGGCUAUAUACAGGGUGUUACGGUACAGAGUCAAUGUGGAGGCUAUAUACAGGGGGUACCGGUACAGAGUCAAUGUGGAGGCUAUAUACAGGGUGUUACGGUACAGAGUCAAUGUGGAGGCUAUAUACAGGGUGUUACGGUACAGAGUCAAUGUGGAGGCUAUAUACAGGGGGUACCGGUACAGAGUCAAUGUGGAGGCUAUAUACAGGGUGUUACGGCACAGAGUCAAUGUGGAGGCUAUAUACAGGGUGUUACGGUACAGACUCAAUGUGGAGGCUAUAUACAGGGUGUUACGGUACAGAGUCAAUGUGGAGGCUAUAUACAGGGGGUACCGGUACAGAGUCAAUGUGGAGGCUAUAUACAGGGUGUUACGGUACAGAGUCAAUGUGGAGGCUAUAUACAGGGUGUUACGGUACAGAGUCAAUGUGGAGGCUAUAUACAGGGGGUACCGGUACAGAGUCAAUGUGGAGGCUAUAUACAGGGUGUUACGGUACAGAGUCAAUGUGGAGGCUAUAUACAGGGUGUUACGGUACAG